AGUAAGGAAUAUUGGUCAAUGGAGGAAACUCUGAACCAGCCAUCCCGCGUGAAGGAUGAAGGGGCUCUGCCUUGUAAACUUCUUUUGAAUGGGACGAAAAAAGGGGAUUUAUCCUCGACUGACGGUACCAUUAGAAUAAGCACCGGCUAACUCCGUGCCAGCAGCCGCGGUAAUACGGAGGGUGCAAGCGUUAUCCGGAAUCACUGGGUUUAAAGGGUGCGUAGGCGGCUAAAUAAGUCAGUGGUGAAAGGCCGUGGCUUAACCAUGGGAUUGCCAUUGAUACUGUAUAGCUUGAAUGAGGAUGAGGUUGGCGGAAUGUGGCAUGUAGCGGUGAAAUGCUUAGAUAUGCCAUGGAACAUCGAUUGCGAAGGCAGCUGACUGGACCUGAAUUGACGCUGAGGCACGAAAGCGUGGGUAGCGAACAGGAUUAGAUACCCUGGUAGUCCACGCCCUAAACGAUGCUUACUCGUUGUUUGAUCGCAAGAUUGAGUGACUAAGGGAAACCGAUAAGUAAGCCACCUGGGGAGUACGACCGCAAGG
rnacentral:rRNA from 1 species